CUCUUCCCAUUCCGAACAGAGAAGUUAAGCCCAGUGGCGCCGAUGGUACUGCGCACCCCGCGGGAGAGUAGGUAGCCGCCGUCC
rnacentral:rRNA from 1 species